CCCGCACAAGCAGCGGAGCGUGUGGUUUAAUUCGAUGUUACACGAAGAACCUUACCUGGGUUUGACAUGCUAGUGGUAAUGAAGCGAAAGCGGACCGACCCUUCGGGAGCUUGUACAGGUGCUGCAUGGCUGUCGUCAGCUCGUGUCGUGAGAUGUUCGGUUAAGUCCGCUAACGAGCGCAACCCUCGCUGUGUGUUACAAGUGUCACACGGAACUGCCGGUCAUAAACCGGAGGAAGUGGGGAUGACGUCAAGUCAGCAUGGCCUUUAUAUCCUGGGCUACACACACGCUACAAUGGGAAGGGACAAUAGGUUGCGAAGCCGCGAGGCGGAGCCAAUCCAGCAAAACUUCCCUCAGUUCAGAUUGCAGGCUGCAACUCGCCCGCAUGAAGUUGGAGUUGCUAGUAAACGCAGGUCAGCCAUACUGCGUUGAAUACGUUCCCGGGGCUU
rnacentral:rRNA from 1 species